CCUUGACAUGCCGGAAGUGUUCCUCAGCAUGCCGGGUUGUUGCUAAGCUAACUCGUUAGCACCGCUCAGAUCUGUGUGAAGUUCGGUCCGCCUUCUGUUGAGAUCAAAAUUGUUGAACAGUAUUUACAUAAAGACCAGCUAUACGUUGACCUGAUAUUGGGUUAAUCCAACAUGAAAGUAUCUUUAAAAUCGCUUAGAAACGGUGAGCUGUCAAAGAGAUAGAGAGCAAAGCAAUCCUUCAACCUGAAGUUCCCUUCAUCAUAUUCUCAAUGAGAUCCAGGGGGUCUCAGAUCUUGUGGUGGAGUCAUCAUGGUACCUGCUGUCAGUACCGCCUCUCUCUCCUGUGGAGACCCCAACAACCCCUCCUAGCCUACAGCACCAUCAGCCCCCCCAGCCUCCCCAACCCUACCCCUACCCCUCCACCUCCAGACAAGGGUGCGGGGGAGUUGGUGAAGGAGCGCUCCCUGGUUGCUCUCAAGGUACAGCUGAAGGCUCGCUCCACC